rnacentral:rRNA from 1 species
AACGAACGCUGGCGGCAGGCUUAACACAUGCAAGUCGAGCGCCCCGCAAGGGGAGCGGCAGACGGGUGAGUAACGCGUGGGAAUCUACCCAUCUCUACGGAAUAACGCAUGGAAACGUGUGCUAAUACCGUAUACGUCCUUCGGGAGAAAGAUUUAUAGGAGAUGGAUGAGCCCGCGUGGGAUUAGGUAGUUGGUGGGGGAAAGGCCUACCAAGGCGACGAUCCAUAGCUGGUCUGAGAGGAUGAUCAGCCACACUGGGACUGAGACACGGCCCAGACUCCUACGGGAGGCAGCAGUGGGGAAUAUUGGACAAUGGGCGCAAGCCUGAUCCAGCCAUGCCGCGUGAGUGAUGAAGGCCCUAGGGUUGUAAAGCUCUUUCACCGGUGAAGAUAAUGACGGUAACCGGAGAAGAAGCCCCGGCUAACUUCGUGCCAGCCGCCGCCGUAACAC